AGAGUUUGAUCAUGGCUCAGAACGAACGCUGGCGGCAGGCUUAACACAUGCAAGUCGAACGCAUCCUUCGGGGUGAGUGGCAGACGGGUGAGUAACGCGUGGGAACGUGCCCUUCAGUUCGGAAUAACCCAGGGAAACUUGGGCUAAUACCGGAUACGUGCGAGAGCAGAAAGAUUUAUCGCUGAAGGAUCGGCCCGCGUCUGAUUAGCUAGUUGGUAGGGUAAUGGCCUACCAAGGCGACGAUCAGUAGCUGGUCUGAGAGGAUGAUCAGCCACAUUGGGACUGAGACACGGCCCAAACUCCUACGGGAGGCAGCAGUGGGGAAUAUUGGACAAUGGGCGCAAGCCUGAUCCAGCCAUGCCGCGUGAGUGAUGAAGGCCUUAGGGUUGUAAAGCUCUUUCGGCGGGGACGAUAAUGACGGUACCCGCAGAAGAAGCCCCGGCUAACUUCGUGCCAGCAGCCGCGGUAAUACGAAGGGGGCUAGCGUUGUUCGGAAUCACUGGGCGUAAAGGGCGCGUAGGCGGCUUGAUAAGUCGGGGGUGAAAGCCUGUGGCUCAACCACAGAAUUGCCUUCGAUACUGUCUGGCUUGAGACGGAAGAGGUAAGUGGAACUGCGAGUGUAGAGGUGAAAUUCGUAGAUAUUCGCAAGACACCAGUGGCGAAGGGGCUUACUGGUCCGGUUCUGACGCUGAGGCGCGAAAGCGUGGGGAGCAAACAGGAUUAGAUACCCUAGUAGUCC
rnacentral:rRNA from 1 species